UACGUAGGGGGCAAGCGUUGUCCGGAUUUAUUGGGCGUAAAGAGCGUGUAGGCGGCUAGAUAGGUCCGUUGUGAAAACUCGAGCUCAACCUCGAGACGCCGGUGGAAACCAUCUAGCUAGAGUCCGGAAGAGGAGAGUGGAAUUCCUGGUGUAGCGGUGAAAUGCGCAGAUAUCAGGAAGAACACCCGUGGCGAAGGCGGCUCUCUGGUACGUGACUGACGCUGAGACGCGAAAAGCGUGGGGAGCGAACAGG
rnacentral:rRNA from 1 species